GGAUGAACGCCGGCGGUGUGCCUAAUACAUGCAAGUCGUACGCAGGUGCUUGCACCUGAGUGGCGGACGGGUGAGUAACACGUAGGUAACCUGCCCCGGAGCGGGGGAUAACAUUUGGAAACAGAUGCUAAUACCGCAUAACAACAAAGCCGCAUGGCUUUUGUUGAAAGAUGUUUGUAUCACUCUGGGAUGGACCUGCGGUGCAUUAGCUAGUUGGUAAGGUAACGGCUUACCAAGGCGAUGAUGCAUAGCCGAGUUGAGAGACUGAUCGGCCACAAUGGAACUGAGACACGGUCCAUACUCCUACGGGAGGCAGCAGUAGGGAAUCUUCCACAAUGGGCGCAAGCCUGAUGGAGCAACACCGCGUGAGUGAAGAAGGGUUUCGGCUCGUAAAGCUCUGUUGUUGGAGAAGAACGCGCGUGAGGUAAUUCACGCAGUGACGGUAUCCAACCAGAAAGUCACGGCUAACUACGUGCCAGCAGCCGCGGUAAUACGUAGGUGGCAAGCGUUAUCCGGAUUUAUUGGGCGUAAAGCGAGCGCAGGCGGUUGCUUAGUCUGAUGUGAAAGCCUUCGGCUUAACCGAAGAAGUGCAUCGGAAACCGGGCGACUUGAGUGCAGAAGAGGACAGUGGAACUCCAUGUGUAGCGGUGGAAUGCGUAGAUAUAUGGAAGAACACCAGUGGCGAAGGCGGCUGUCUGGUCUGCAACUGACGCUGAGGCUCGAAAGCAUGGGUAGCGAACAGGAUUAGAUACCCUGGUAGUCCAUGCCGUAAACGAUGAGUGCUAGGUGUUGGAGGGCUUCCCCCUUCAGUGCCGGAGCUAACGCAUUAAGCACUCCGCCUGGGGAGUACGACCGCAAGGUUGAAACUCAAAGGAAUUGACGGGGGCCCGCACAAGCGGUGGAGCAUGUGGUUUAAUUCGAAGCUACGCGAAGAACCUUACCAGGUCUUGACAUCUUGCGCUAACCUUAGAGAUAAGGCGUUCCCUUCAGGGACGCAAUGACAGGUGGUGCAUGGUCGUCGUCAGCUCGUGUCGUGAGAUGUUGGGUUAAGUCCCGCAACGAGCGCAACCCUUGUUACUAGUUGCCAGCAUUGAGUUGGGCACUCUAGUGAGACUGCCGGUGACAAACCGGAGGAAGGUGGGGACGACGUCAGAUCAUCAUGCCCCUUAUGACCUGGGCUACACACGUGCUACAAUGGACGGUACAACGAGUCGCAAACUCGCGAGAGUAAGCUAAUCUCUUAAAGCCGUUCUCAGUUCGGACUGUAGGCUGCAACUCGCCUACACGAAGUCGGAAUCGCUAGUAAUCGCGGAUCAGCAUGCCGCGGUGAAUACGUUCCCGGGCCUUGCACACACCGC
rnacentral:rRNA from 1 species